CCUACGGGGGGCUGCAGUGAGGAAUAUUGGUCAAUGGACGAGAGUCUGAACCAGCCAAGUAGCGUGAAGGAUGACUGCCCUAUGGGUUGUAAACUUCUUUUAUAAAGGAAUAAAACGAGGCACGUGUGCCUUUUUGCAUGUACUUUAUGAAUAAGGAUCGGCUAACUCCGUGCCAGCCGCCGCGGUAAUACGGAGGAUCCGAGCGGUAUCCGGAUUUAUUGGGUUUAAAGGGAGCGUAGAUGGGUUGUUAAGUCAGUUGUGAAAGUUUGCGGCUCAACCGUAAAAUUGCAAUUGAUACUGGCAGUCUUGAGUACAGUUGAGGUAGGCGGAAUUCGUGGUGUAGCGGUGAAAUGCUUAGAUAUCACGAAGAACUCCGAUUGCGAAGGCAGCUUACUAAACUGCCACUGACAUUGAUGCUCGAAAGUGUGGGUAUCAAACAGGAUUAGAUACCCCAGUAGUC
rnacentral:rRNA from 1 species